GGACUUGGGUUGUUCUGAAUGGUAUCAGAGCCAGACACCGGGUGAUAUGCCAGUGAGGAAGCUGAGCCUCGAAGGGUGGUGGACAUAGACGGGGUAUCAGCAAGGACGUCGGGCUCCGAAGGGAGUAGAUUAGGAAGGUCUCACAUUGAUCGGAGAAGGGAAGGAGUGCUAGUGAGGAUGCUUGGCCUCAAAGGGGAUGGAUUGUGAGAUCCCACUUCAGUUGAGAAGAGAAUGAAACAUUUUUUAUAAAGAUGUGGAAACCUCUACUUAGCAGACAUGUUUUAAAAACUUUGAGAGGAAUCCCGAGAAAGAAAGGCCAAAGAGGACGAUAUAUGCUAGCGGUGGGCUUGGGCUUGGGCUUGGGCUGUUAUAUUUCCUUUUCUAGCUGGACGUGGCAACACGAGUACAGUAAGCAUUGAACAUUGAACAGUAUGAAAUUGGCCAAGAAUUGAGAACGAAGCUAACUGAGUUCAGGUUUGUCGUUUGCUUUAUUUGAAAUAAAAUGACAUUCAUAACUCAUAAGGGCAUACAUUGUGUAUUCUCUGUUUUACUUGGCAAAGGUUGAAGCAGAUAUCAUAGCAAGAAUCAAAAAGGGUAACUUCAAAGAGAGAAGUUGAAGACAAAGGUUUAAAUAUCAUUGGUCGACGGUAAAGUUUCCCUUAUAUUAUUCCCAACCCAUAUUAAGAUGAUGAUCAAUGGGGCAAUGAUUGAUCGACACACAUCUCUAGAAAUCCAUCGUUCAAUUUCUUCCAAAGUGGUUUGUUCAUCUCGUUUCUUGCACUGCUCCGUCAACUCUCCCCGUGUCUGGGAAGGGUUUCCAUAUUCAUUGAUUUUCAGGUGAUUCAAUGAAACUUGAUUGUUGAAAUUCCAAA